rnacentral:lncRNA from 1 species
GAAGCUGUGCAAAUAAUCCUUCAGGAUAAGGUGUAAGUCCUAUUCGUGUUUUCCCAUAAUGAGGCUAUAUUAACCUGUUGGGCUGGACCUAUUGCUACAAAUGUGAUACUGAGCAAUAAAUAUCAAUGCGGACAGUUACUAAUAAUCUGUAGAUCAUUAAUGGGGAAGUAGAAAGUAGUACAAAACAAGAAAGAACCAAUACGCUUUGUAUGCUUUAUUUUUGUAGGGGAUAAUGCUGUUGAAACCUUCUUCAGGAUAAGGUGUAAGUCCUAUUCGUGUUUUCCCAUAAUGAGGCUAUAUUAACCUGUUGGGCUGGACCUAUUGCUACAAAUGUGAUACUGAGCAAUAAAUAUCAGUGCGGACAGUUACUAAUAAUCUGUAGAUCAUUAAUGGGGAAGUAGAAAGUAGUACAAAACAAGAAAGAACCAAUACGCUUUGUAUGCUUUAUUUUUGUAGGGGAUAAUGCUGUUGAAACCAACCACGGGCUUUAUCUUGUGUACAUGAAUGCUG